rnacentral:rRNA from 1 species
AUUGAACGCUGGCGGCAGGCUUAACACAUGCAAGUCGAGCGGAGUGAUGGUGCUUGCACUAUCACUUAGCGGCGGACGGGUGAGUAAUGCUUAGGAAUCUGCCUAUUAGUGGGGGACAACAUCUCGAAAGGGAUGCUAAUACCGCAUACGUCCUACGGGAGAAAGCAGGGGAUCACUUGUGACCUUGCGCUAAUAGAUGAGCCUAAGUCGGAUUAGCUAGUUGGUGGGGUAAAGGCCUACCAAGGCGACGAUCUGUAGCGGGUCUGAGAGGAUGAUCCGCCACACUGGGAAUGAGACACGGCCCAGACUCCUACGGGAGGCAGCAGUGGGGAAUAUUGGACAAUGGGGGGAACCCUGAUCCAGCCAUGCCGCGUGUGUGUAGAAGGCCUUAUGGUUGUAAAGCACUUCAAGCGAGGAGGAGGCUCUUUUGGUUAAUACCCAAGAUGAGUGGACGUUACUCGCAGAAUAAGCACCGGCUAACUCUGUGCCAGCAGCCGCGGUAAAAC